rnacentral:rRNA from 1 species
UACGAAGGGGGCUAGCGUUGUUCGGAAUCACUGGGCGUAAAGGGUGCGUAGGCGGGUCUUUAAGUCAGGGGUGAAAUCCUGGAGCUCAACUCCAGAACUGCCUUCGAUACUGAAGAUCUUGAGUUCGGGAGAGGUGAGUGGAACUGCGAGUGUAGAGGUGAAAUUCGUAGAUAAUUCGCAAGAACACCCAGUGGCGAAGGCGGCUCACUGGCCCGAUACUGACGCUGAGGCACGAAAGCGUGGGGAGCAAACAGG